AAGUCGUAACAAGGUUUCCGUAGGUGAACCUGCGGAAGGAUCAUUAUAGAGAUUGGUUGGGUAACACCUUCCAAACCUCCCACCCUAUGUUUACAUUACCUUUGUUGCUUUGGUAGGCCCGUCUUGCGCCGCUGGCUGCGUGCCACCUCGAGUCUCAAAACUCUGUUUAAUUUGUAUUGUCUGAGUACUAUACAAUAGUUAAAA
rnacentral:misc_RNA from 1 species